rnacentral:rRNA from 1 species
CCUACGGGAGGCAGCAGUAGGGAAUCUUCCACAAUGGGCGAAAGCCUGAUGGAGCAACGCCGCGUGGGUGAAGAAGGUCUUCGGAUCGUAAAACCCUGUUGUUAGAGGAGAAAGUGCGUGAGAGUAACUGUUCACGCUUCGACGGUAUCUAACCAGAAAGCCACGGCUAACUCCGUGCCAGCAGCUGCGGUAAUACGUAGGUGGCAAGCGUUAUCCGGAUUUAUUGGGAGUAAAGGGAGCGCAGGCGGUCUUUUAAGUCUGAUGUGAAAGCUUUCGGCUUAACCAGAGUAGUGCAUUGGAAACUGGGAGACUUGAGUGCAGAUGAGGUGAGUGGAACUCGAUGUGUAGCGGUGAAAUGCGUAGAUAUAAGGAAGAACACCAGUGGCGAAAGUGGCUCUCUGGUCUGUAACUGACGCUGAGGUUCGAAAGCGUGGGUAGCAAACAGGAUUAGAUACCCUUGUAGUC